rnacentral:rRNA from 1 species
UCUACGGGUGGCAGCAGUGAGGAAUAUUGGUCAAUGGACGAGAGUCUGAACCAGCCAAGUAGCGUGAAGGAUGACUGCCCUAUGGGUUGUAAACUUCUUUUAUAAAGGAAUAAAACGAGGCACGUGUGCCUUUUUGCAUGUACUUUAUGAAUAAGGAUCGGCUAACUCCGUGCCAGCAGCCGCGGUAAUACGGAGGAUCCGAGCGUUAUCCGGAUUUAUUGGGGUUAAAGGGAGCGUAGAUGGGUAGUUAAGUCAGUUGUGAAAUUUUGCGGCUCAACCGUAAAAUUGCAAUUGAUACUGGCAGUCUUGAGUACAGUUGAGGUAGGUGGAAUGCGUGGUGUAGCGGUGAAAUGCAUAGAUAUCACGCAGAACUCCGAUUGCGAAGGCAGCAUACCGGCGCCCAACUGACGCUGAAGCACGAAAGCGUGGGUAUCGAACAGGAUUAGAUACCCGAGUAGUC